ACAUGGACAUGGGGCUCAUGACCACAGAACAAUAAGCUCCUUUGGACAUGGGCAGGAAGGGGAGCAUGAAGGUACUUCCUUCAGCCAUAUGAGCUGUAGUUUUAUGCUCUCGUAGUUGACCUUUAGAAAACUGCAUCCAAAUUUUCGCUUUUUAUGUUGAUGGAAACUGUGGUUUUUUAGUCUCCCACAAGUCUGAGGGACAUGGACAUGAGACUCACGGCCACAGAACAGUAAGCUCCUCUGGACACGGGCAGGAAAGGGAGGAGGAGCAUGAAGUCUCCCACAAGUCUGAGGGACAUGGACAUGAGACCCACGGCCAUAGAACAAUAAGCUCCUCUGGACAUGGGUGGGAAAGGGAGCAUGAAGUCUUCCACAAGCCUGAGGGACAUGGACAUGAGACCCAUGGCCACAGAACAAUAAGCUCCUCUGGACAUGGGCAGGAACGGGAGCACGAAGGUACACCCUUCAGCCAUAUGUGCUGUAGUUUUGCAUUCUUAUAGUUGAGCUGUAGAGAAUUACAUCCAAAUUUUUGCUUCUUAUGUUGACGGAAACUGUGGCGUUUCAGUUGCCCACAAGUCUCAGGGACAUGGACAUGAGACUCAUGGCCACAGAACAACAUCCUCAUCUGGACACUGGGGAGAGCAGCAUCAAGAAAGAAAAGGUAUCCAUGUUGUACCUGCUUGCUCACAAGCUGAACGUGAGAACUGCACUCAAGCUGAUCCAAAUUCACGUAUUUGUAUCUGUCCACCAAUAUAGUAGACUGUUGGUCAACUCAUUUUGCUUUCUGUAGAAUAAAUGCAAAAUUUUAUUUGAGACUCAAGAUAAGGGCAAGAAAAGAAAAAGAGCAAAUAAACAAGACUGGGUUCAAGGCCAGAGCAGGCUGUGACUGGUCAAAGCGAUAUUGUGGCUGAACUGUCAUGUGGACACUCAGUGGUGCCGUCUAUAAUGCGACAUAAAAUGUUCAGUUUUCUGUCAUGGCCCCAGUAAUAUCUGUUCUUAAAGUGUACCGAAGUGAUUGAGCUGGGUUAACUGCAGUUACUUUCCACUCAUAUCUCAGGAUGUUUGAUUUAAAAAAACUUAUUCUAACUCUUAUAAUUAUCUGUUAACUCUCCCAGCUCUUUCAUCUGCGAGUCUGUAUCUCGUUUUUAUAUGACUCACUCUGUUGUUGGGGGUGCUUUCACUGCACUCCGGAGAGAUGUUUUCUCUCGCGCUCUGAUCCAUGCUGGUCUGCUACAGCAGAGAUGCAGUUUCACUCCCUCAUGGUGAACAUUAGGCAUUGGACCUUAGAGUCAGUGCAGUUAAGGCUGCUGAAGUUGCAUUUGCACCUUCUUGUUUUGAAAGACAAAUGGCCAGCGGGAAACCUCCAGCGUGAUCCGAACCCUGAGGCAGCUUCAGGUCAGUCAGGGACAGACUUUCACGUUUAACGGGCUGGCCAACUUUGUUGUGCUCUGGCCAGAAACCACAAGGCAGAUAUUGUUGAAUUAUUGUUUAAUUUGUCGAGGAAAAAAGAGCAUAAAUAACUUUCCUCACAUGAUGCAUUUGCUUGAUGUGGUGUGACAGUCCCCUACAAGUCUGAGGGACACGUACAUGCGACUCAUGGCCACAAAACCUCAUCUGAGUACGGGGAGGGAAGAAAAGAUGAAAGGAAAGGUAUCCGUUUCAUGUGUGCUGGUGGCAACAUUUUCAUAAAAUAAAAUAUCCCUCAUUAUUUUUUUGUCAUUGUCACUGACGAGUGCGGUGUUUCAGCCUCCCAUAUCUUUGACGGACACGUUCUCGAGACUCAUGGCCACAAAACCUCAUCUGUACAUGGGGAGGAAAGAGAGGAAGAGGAGGAACAUAAAGAAAGAAAAGCUGAAAGGAGAGGUAUCUCUUUUAUAUGUAGGGGUGCCAGUGUUAGGGUAGCUGUUCAUAUAUUCAGUAGUUCAUUUGUGGUGGAGUAAAUAAGCAGAAGAUAAAUUCUCACCAUGUGUUAAAGUUGGCAGCUCACAGUGAAAAAUAGAAACUGGAAACAACAAACGCAUCUAAAUUUAUCUCUAACUACAUGAAAGCUUGUCAGUCAAAAUACGCUAUAGGCUAAAUAUUGAAGCGCCUUGUGUUUAUGAUGAAUGAAACUGCAGGGUAAAAAACAGUAGAAGAUGAAUUUGACAUUAAAAAUGCUCUUGAUUUAAAAAUCUUGUUUCUGUGUUCAGAAUAAUGCUUUUUAAAUACCCUCACGUGUCAGAGCAUUUUAGGUUUUCUGACAUUUAAAGAUACUUUUUAAAUGAAGAAAUAAAGCCUUUAGUGUUCUGUAAAUACCCAUAAGCAUCUAACAUUAGUCAGUUACAUCAAAAUAUGUGAACAGGAUCUAUACUACCAGAGGUUUCUCACAAAUCGUUGGAUGUUGCCGUCUCAUCGGCGCUCGUUUGGUAAAACAGCCCGAGAUUGUCUGCAUGACGGCAAUACAGAUUGAUUUGCGAGUUGUUGCUCCCGUGUAGCGCACCAAGUCGAGAGGGAAAGUCGGGGACACGAGACAUCAGGACACACUGACGGGACAGAGGAUGAGGAGAGAGAAGAGAGAGAACGAGAGA